rnacentral:lncRNA from 1 species
UUUUCUAUUUUUUUAUUACAAUACUUUGUAAUAUUAUUAGCAUUUGUGUUGUAGGCUUAUCUUCUUCAAGCGACAGCUUCUUAAGAGCUCUAUCCAACGCAUACUCCAUACUUCACCCAAGUUCAAAACAAAACGCUGCAAACAUAGUGAACCGAACAUUUUCACCGAACAAGAACACGGCAGCGGAAAAAAAACUAGGUUAAACUUCAAAAGAUCUUCAAAGAUUAAGAUCCAAACAGAAAAAUCAAUCCAAAUGCGACGAAAAAAGGAAAUAUUCCCGGUUACUGAAGCUUAC